rnacentral:rRNA from 1 species
AUCUCGCAAUAUAGGUAAUAUGAAAGAUAUAUUUCUUGAUAAACCAAGGCAAGUAUAUAAAGAAACUAUUAUGGAUAAUUAGCUAUAUAUUAAAGAAAUUCUAGUAAAUCUAGAUUCUAAGAGAAAUCCUAUAAUAAACGAAGUGAAUUGAAAUAUCUUAGUAACUUCAGGAAAGGAAAUCAAACGAGAUUGUUAUUUGGUGUCAACUAAAUAACAAAAGCCUAUUAACAAAACUUGUUAAAGUAAAACGGAUUAAAAUCUGUUUGAAUAAAGGGGAACCUUCCUCUAAGGCUAAAUAUGAUAUAUAAGCGAUAGUGAAAAGUACCGUGAGGUAAAAUUUGAAAUAGUAGUUUUAUAAGCAGCUCGAGUGAAAAUUUAAAUAAAUAAUAAGAGCGUACCUUUUGCAUAAUGGGUCAGCAAGUUAAUUUUAGAUGCAAGCAAUGAUUUCAUCAAAUUGAUGAAACUAGCUUAGAUAAACCAAUUAUGAGAAAAUGAAUAAGUAUCUAGAAUUAGACCCGAAGGCUAGUGAUCUUACCAUGGUCAGGGUUAUAAAAGCCCGAACGGGUUAUCGUUGUAUAGAUAUCCGAAGAAUUGUGGUAAGUUAGUGAAAGACAAAACUGACUAGUAUAGCUGGUUUUCCGCGAAACCUAUAUGAGUAGGUAAUUCAAUUAACAUCUUAGCAGGUACAGAACUGUGAUCUCGGACAAUAUCUUUUGAUUUUGUCAACAUCGGGGGGUUGUAGCGACUUUACCGGAGAGUAUUUGCACUCGGAAUGGCAAAGAUGAAUGUUGAAUAAUCGGACAUAGUGCGAUAAGGUUGUAUGUCAAAAGGGAAACAGCCCAGAACAAGAGUUAAGGUUCCAAAAUUAUUGUUGAGUGAAAUUAAGGAUGUUUUUUUUUAAUACAAUCAGGAAAUAGGCUUAGAAGCGGCCAUUUUUUGAAGACCUCGUAACAGAGCACUGAUUAAAAUUCUUAGAAAAAAACACCGAAAAUUUAACGGAUCUAAACAAUAUACCGAAACCUUGUACACAUAUUAUAAUUAUAAAAAUUGUAUAUGUGGGGUAGCGGAACAUUGGAUAAAUAUUAAUUAUUAUUUCUUCUAAGAAAUAAUAAGUAUGAAUACUUAUUAAUAAAAUAAAGAUAUAAUAUUAUUAUAUAUAAAAAAUAUAAUGGUUUAUAUGUAUAAAUAUUAAAAUUAUUCAUCGAUAUAAUCCAAGAGAGAAUGCUGACAUGAGUAACGAAAAAGGAAUAUCCUCGCCUUAAGCUUAUGGUAUUAUAUUUAAUUUUCGGUAUCUAAAAGUAUUAAUCAAAAGGUAAUUUUGAUGAUAUUUAUAUAUUAAUACUUAAAAGUAUAAAACAAAACCUUUAACAAGUAAUAAAGGUUCUGGAAAAUUUUAUUUACUUUAAAUAAAGUUUAUUUUGUAUAAUUAUAUAACUUCUUGUUACAAGUUUUCAAGAUUGUAUAAUAUUAUAUGCAGAAUAUAUUUUUAUUUUUAUAUUAUUUAUAAUAUAAUAAGAUUUAUAUAUACCGUACCUAGAUACUAUCACAAGUAAGCAAGUAGAGAAUACAAAGGCGUUUGAGUGAACAAUCAUUAAGGAACUCGGCAAAUUGACUACCGUAACUUCGGGAUAAGGAGGGCCAUUAUCAUUAGUUUAACAUAUCUUAUGAUAUGAUUUAAUUAAAUUAAUGGUAAGAGGAAACAUAAAAUAAUGUUGUACGACUGUUUAAUAAAAACACAGCACUCUGCAAAGAUAAAAUAUCUAAGUAUUGAGUGUGAUGUCUGCCCAAUGUCGGCUGGGUAACGGAUUUACCUUGGUUUUUAACUUAGGUUUUGAAGGAUACCCCGAUUAAUGGCGGCCUUACCUAUGAGGGUCCUAAGGUAGCGAAAUACCUUGGCCGUUAAAUGCGGUCCUGCAUGAAUGACUUAACGAUACAACAGCUGUCUCGAUGAUUGUCUCAGUGAAAUUGGAAUAGCAGUGCAGAUACUGUUUACCUCUAGAUAGACGAGAAGACCCUAUGCAGCUUUACUGUUACUAAUUGCAAAAGUGAAAAUUUAGGAUGAUUGCGAGUGUAUAAGGUAGUUGUUUGAUAACAAUGAAACACCUUUAUUCGUUUCCUAUUAUAUGCUUUUGAGGAUUAGGAGGCAGUUUAUGCGGGGCACAGAUCCCACAAAAAGUACCUGGGUAUAUCCAAAGUUCAUAUUGUAAAUUUGUAAAUUUUCUUUACAAUUAUUUUAAUUUGUAAUAAUUAUUUUUAUAAUUAUACAGUUAUUAUUAGAUUAAAUUCAAUUUUUAUUUUUAUUUUAAGUAAGAUUUUAACUAUAUGGUGAAUAGAUGUAUUUUAAACUUUAAUAUUUAAAAGUUUUUUGUCAUGUUAAUAUUGCAUAUUUACCUUUAUUAAUAUGAUAAUUAAUUAUACUUUCAAAGUUUAAUGGCUAAAUCUUGCUUUACUGUUUGACCUACAAGUCUAUCAGUCGCGUAAGCGGGGCAUAUGAUCACAAGAUGCAUAAAGGAAAGGUCUUGGAUUAUAGAAAAAGUUACGCUAGGGAUUUAGAACUGUGAGUCCUCCAAUAUUAAAAAAUAUUGGUAAUAUAUUGGGUAAAUUUCAAAGAUAACUUAAAAUGAUUUAAGUGUAUUUGAAGCGAAACUUAUUUUAGCAAUAAGCAAUAGUAUAAUAUUGUUUAAUCAUAGAAUUAAAUCCUAUGAUAAAAUAAGGACGUUCAACGA